UGGCGCCCGAACAGGGACCUGGAAACGAGGGACUCCGUGAGGAAGAGGACGCCAAAGGACGGUCGACCGCUAACCCAGACAAAAGGAGUAAAACUCUUCCGAUCACCACAGGAACCUGCCGCGUCUGACAAGAAUUAAGUCAGCAUCAGAUCUAUGUAGGACAAUUAAAAGAGGCUUUAAAGAUACGAGGAGUAAAGGUUAAAGGUAAUGAUUUGUUUAAGUUUUUUGAUUUUGUAAAAGACACUUGCCCUU
rfam:Papio anubis isolate 1X1155 chromosome 13, whole genome shotgun sequence.